UUUGCUCUUUUUGAUUUAACCUGGAACAAAUUAUAAAUUGUUUUAGAAGUGUCAAAUGACUCAGGAGUGGUAGAAAUGGAUGGGUAAGGUAUGUCAAGUCAAAAAUGUGCCUGUGUUUAUUGUCAACAAGCCAACUUUUGUCCUCUUCACCCUGAAAUUUUCUUUCUCAACCACAGUUGGAGGGCAGGUCAUUUUCCGACAAAUAACUUGUUUUGAAAAACAGAGAACAAUAAUUGUGACACUGAGAUUCCCUUUUGAAACAAAUAUUUAGUCUUCAAUGACACACUCCUAGAUGUAGACAUACAAUUAAAUAGACAACAGCAUGUGGACCCCAUAGUGUGGGGCAUGUGAUCACUCUGGAAAUUGAGGGUGACAAGGUAGGACACAGGCUAGUUCUUACUGGGCCUGGGAAAUCCCACUCACAGUGGUUUUCCUGGGUCCUGAGUGGGCUCAGCUGUAGGAAAGUCACACCCAUGGGAUCUACUUCACCCCUUUCCCUGGAGCAAGCUCAGAGUUUUUCCAGUGAUGGUGGAGCCCCCCCCAUUCACCCUCUUACGUUAUACAAAGUGGUUGUCAGUCCUUAGGACCCCAUACCUGACCCUCAACCCAACCUGUGCCUGACCUCUCUUUGAUAUCCCAACUGAAGGUUCAGGCACCCUGUCAGUUUGCCAGGCCAGCUCCAUGCCUGCCAUUCCUCCUGGGCCUGUGUCCUCACACAGCGCCUCACAAUGAGUCCCUUUGUCACUGGGCCACCAUCCUCCUGGACAGUGCUCAGCACAGGAGUCUGGGAAGGAAGCGAAGUGCUCUGCCCUGACCUUACAAAGAGCACACUCUAUGCCCUAGAAGGAGCCUGGCAACAUCACAUCUGACAAAGAAGGUGCUUAGAGGAGUCCUAGGAAAUGGAGGCUUUCAUAGGGAGAAGCUGGGCGGGACAAGGAAGGUAUCAGUCAGAAAAAGGGUUGUUUCUGGCAAGGUCACCUUCCCUUAGGGGAACGGCAGGGAGUCCCAUCAGGCAGAUUACAUCACUCGUGCUGACCGUGCUGACCGGGAAAUUCCUGAUGGUUUGGCUGAAAACUCAACUCCUGGAGAGACUGAAACUACAGGCUAUCCUUCUAAAAGAUUUUUUCAACUUUGUCAAAAAUAAUUACCUACAAGCCAGCUUUGGACACUUUGCAUGCCGGAUCUCCUCCUUUUCCUGUGCUGGUUAUUUGUGGUGACCAUGAAGAAGACCCUGAAUCCCAAAGCCAAGGUGGCCCAAGCCCAGGUGGCACAGGUGGUCAGCAUCAGAGUGGGCCUGGGGCUGCAGAAUGUGCUGAGGACCAGCUUGGGGCCUAAGGAGGAGGCCUUUACGCAGUUAGUAAAAGUAUCAGUCCAUACCAACAGAUGUUGGAAUUCCUUAGACCUUGGCACGUGAGUGAAACCUAAUUGUUAGUCUUUCCUGGAUAGCCUCCAGUUCCUUGGGUGCCUGGGAGAGCAAGUUUGUGGUUGGAAGGAUUGUUUUUAAGACAUACUUUACAGACUGAUACUACUUGUAGAACUGUCCUUGACAAAUUUUUUUUCCCAGUAAACAUCCUUUGGACCAUUUGAUAAGUUUUGUCCCUCCCUGAAUGAAAGGCUUUAUGCUGUGUCUUAAUGAUCUUUUAGCUCUGUGAGCUUGGUAAUGCUAAUUGCCCUGCUCUGUUUGUAACCAUUCCAAGGGCUGGAGACAGUGUCUAGGAAUCAGACCCCAGUGUAUUAUUAUUUCUGGGGGUGGGGAAGAGUAGGUGGGAUUGAGUCUCCUUUAAUAAUUGAUAGAGCAGACAAACUAUUUUCCUGAACCCUGGUAUCUACAGCCUACGAUAUCCAGUAAUUUCCAAAAACUCAUGUAAUUGUUUAUCUUCCCUGGAGUUAGUAGCACCACAGUCUCUAAUUUAGUUAUAAUGUCCCUUCCUAACAAGGGAGUAAGGCCCUCUGGCAUUAUCAGGAAAGAAUGAGAAAAAUUAGGUUUCUCCAUAUACAUCCUAGGGGCUGAGAGAAAAAUUCAGUUAGAAGUUUUCUGGAGAUGCCUCUAAUCGUCAUGCUGCAUUUGGAUAGUUGGUCUGGAGUGGAAAGGAGGACAGAAAAGGUAGCUCUGGUGUUAAGAAGGAAAUCAACCAGUGUUCCUUCUAUAUUUAGAGUUACCCGAGGUUCUGGGUUUCUGAUAGACAGUUGCUUCAGGGGAGCCACCGUGAAGAGCCCCAGGCCUUGGUCCCUUCCAGGGACAUUGGUUAUCCUAACCCUCGCAGAUAAAAGUCCCCAAGGGCAUUCAGAUCUCCAGUGAUUGUCUCCACGUUAAGGGACAUGGCUUAUGGGGUUUUCAUUUUGGUUGUCCCCUCUGAGGACAUUCUCAUUUUAGUGUUCGGAAUGGCUAUAUAAAUGGCACUCAGUGCCAGGACCUCAGGAAGUCCAGUAUGAUGUAGUACAUAAGACCACAACUAAGACCUCAGAUUUUUUUUUUUUAAGCCUCCUUUUCUGUUUUUGGUUUUGUUUUUUUCUUAUACCCAAUUGGCAGCUCAUAAGAGCUCCUCCAGGGUUCCUUCAAAGCCAACAGCCAAUUUUUGCAUUUUCUCUGAAUAUCUAGGGCUGAUUGAGUGACAAAUUUGUCCUGAGGGGUGUCAGGGGAGAUAGCCAUAUAUUUAAUGAGAGCCUCCCUCAACCUCUCCAGGAAGGCCAUUGGGCUCUCAUUUUGUGUUUGUAAAAUAGUGGCUAAUUUAGCAUAAUUUAAGGGCUAAAUCUUAGAUUUCCUUAAUUUU